GAGUUUGAUCAUGGCUCAGAUUGAACGCUGGCGGCAGGCCUAACACAUGCAAGUCGAGCGGAUGACGGGAGCUUGCUCCUUGAUUCAGCGGCGGACGGGUGAGUAAUGCCUAGGAAUCUGCCUGGUAGUGGGGGACAACGUUUCGAAAGGAACGCUAAUACCGCAUACGUCCUACGGGAGAAAGCAGGGGACCUUCGGGCCUUGCGCUAUCAGAUGAGCCUAGGUCGGAUUAGCUAGUUGGUGGGGUAAUGGCUCACCAAGGCGACGAUCCGUAACUGGUCUGAGAGGAUGAUCAGUCACACUGGAACUGAGACACGGUCCAGACUCCUACGGGAGGCAGCAGUGGGGAAUAUUGGACAAUGGGCGAAAGCCUGAUCCAGCCAUGCCGCGUGUGUGAAGAAGGUCUUCGGAUUGUAAAGCACUUAAGUUGGGAGGAAGGGCAGUAAGUUAAUACCUUGCUGUUUUGACGUUACCGACAGAAUAAGCACCGGCUAACUCUGUGCCAGCA
rnacentral:rRNA from 1 species